CGUAGGGUGCGAGCGUUAAUCGGAAUUACUGGGCGUAAAGCGUGCGCAGGCGGUUUUGUAAGUCAGAUGUGAAAUCCCCGAGCUCAACUUGGGAACUGCGUUUGAAACUACAAGACUAGAAUAUGUCAGAGGGGGUAGAAUUCCACGUGUAGCAGUGAAAUGCGUAGAGAUGUGGAGGAAUACCAAUGGCGAAGGCAGCCCCCUGGGAUAAUAUUGACGCUCAUGCACGAAAGCGUGGGGAGCAAACAGGAUUAGAUACCCUGGUAGUCCACGCCCUAAACGAUGUCUACUAGUUGUUGGUGGAGUAAAAUCCAUGAGUAACGCAGCUAACGCGUGAAGUAGACCGCCUGGGGAGUACGGUCGCAAGAUUA
rnacentral:rRNA from 1 species